rnacentral:rRNA from 1 species
UACGUAGGGGGCAAGCGUUAUCCGGAUUUACUGGGUGUAAAGGGAGCGUAGACGGCACGGCAAGCCAGAUGUGAAAGCCCGGGGCUCAACCCUGGGACUGCAUUUGGAACUGCUGAGCUAGAGUGUCGGAGAGGCAAGUGGAAUUCCUAGUGUAGCGGUGAAAUGCGUAGAUAUUAGGAGGAACACCAGUGGCGAAGGCGGCUUGCUGGACGAUGACUGACGUUGAGGCUCGAAAGCGUGGGGAGCAAACAGG